rnacentral:rRNA from 1 species
UACGGGGGGAGCAAGCGUUGUUCGGAUUCACUGGGCGUAAAGGGUGCGUAGGUGGCUGGGAAAGUUUGAUGUGAAAGCUCAGGGCUUAACCCUGAAAUGGCAUUGAAUACUGCCUGGCUGGAGGUUUGGAGGGGGGACUGGAAUUCUUGGUGUAGCAGUGAAAUGCGUAGAUAUCAAGAGGAACACCAGUGGCGAAGGCGAGUCCCUGGACAACACCUGACACUGAAGCACGAAAGCCGGGGGAGCAAACAGG